AAUAAUAUUGUGUCGUAGGUACCUACUAAAUAUACGUUCGUAUAUUCGAUACCUACUGACUAAUUACCUACUCGAAUAAGCAGGUAAUCGGAUACGGAGAAUGCACUGGUGUAAUCGUAAUAAAGCUAAUUACUUACCUCGGCUAGGGCUUUUAGUACACUACCGAACACAAUACAAUAUCAUACGCAAAGUUCGUGUAAACGAAUGUAUUAUGGUCAAAAAUGACACAAUAUACUUAAACCGACUCGGAGAAAUAGGGAAAACAAUACAAUAUUUAUCAGAGGGGGAAAAUUACGUUAACACUACUGAAUUAUUACUAAAUUAUAAAAUAUACAAGAACACUUUAAACCUAGGGCCGGAGCUCUAAAGAAUUAAGGACAUAUUAUCUUGGCAACUCGCUUGCUUCACGAAAACGAACUACAAGUUGGUCCAGUUGCCAAAGAAGCUGGAAGGCUCAUUUGACACCUUGACCACUCAUUGUUACCAACCACAUCACCGAACGGUGCUGGAAGGGUUAAAUUACCUGUUUAUACACAUACGUGUUACCAUUAAGGCAUAUCCGUCUAACAUAUGCCCUCCGAGGUUUACUCAGCUAUGACUCAGCGAGCUAAGUUCCCAGCAGAGGAAAUCACGGUGUGAGACAUAGACAUGACUUAAUGAUAACACUGUCCGUACGGACCCUGCUGCCCCCCAUGAGUUUCUCGGAUGAGAAAUUGGUGAGCAGAGAAGAAAGAAGAAAAUUCUCAAAUUUGGAACCACAGCGCACCCUAGGAGUUGAAGCAGGCGCGUACGUGACCCACUGAGCCACCAGAGAUCGAUCACUCGAAAUACAAUGUACUCAACAAAUACACGUAACUACCUAGCUCUAGCCUAGGAUACACGACAUCGAAAAAGUUGCCAGUUAGCAAUAAUAAGAUCCUUUUUUGUUUCAGAUAUCCGUCCAAAAAGGUGAGAAUAUGGAUCGAUUGAAGAUAAGCCGCCUGAGCUCUGAACGAUGAAGCGAAUAAGAGCUACGUACGUAGCUGCGAGUUCGAUGUCCAAGUCAACAUGUCCAAAACAGGUUUAUGGGUCAUUAACGCCUCCGAGCCGGUUUGUAUUUACGUUCGUAUUCAUUCUUACGAUUAAGUGCAACGUUUAGGAAGAAAAAAUGUGCAAAUUAUAGAAUAAGUUUGUACUUUUAUUCGAUGUAUAGGUUACAACAUGCAUUGUAAAUACUGAUUAUUGUUUAUUGAUAAAAUAAAGAAUAAAUACCCAAAA